GACGAACGCUGGCGGCGCGCUUAACACAUGCAAGUCGAACGGAAAGGCCUGCUUUCCCUUGUGGAUUGCGGGUACUCGAGUGGCGAACGGGUGAGUAACACGUGAGUGGUCUGCCCCCAACUUGGGUAUAAGCCUGGGAAACUGGGUCUAAUUCCCGAUAGGACUGCAGGGUGGUGCCUGUGGUGGAAAACGAUUUUCUAGUGGUUGGGGAUGAGCUCGCGGCCUAUCAGCUUGUUGGUGGGGUAAUGGCCUACCAAGGCGGCGACGGGUAGCCGGCCUGAGAGGGCGGACGGCCACAUUGGGACUGAGAUACGGCCCAGACUCCUACGGGAGGCAGCAGUGGGGAAUAUUGCACAAUGGGCGGAAGCCUGAUGCAGCGACGCCGCGUGGGGGAUGACGGCCUUAGGGUUGUAAACUCCUUUCGACCGCGAGGAAGCCACCUGGUUGGAAGGGUGGUGACGGUAGUGGUAGAAGAAGCACCGGCUAACUACGUG
rnacentral:rRNA from 1 species